rnacentral:rRNA from 1 species
UACGUAGGGUGCGAGCGUUGUCCGGAAUUAUUGGGCGUAAAGAGCGCGCAGGCGGUCGUUCAAGUCGAGUGUGAAAGCCCCCGGCUCAACUGGGGAGGGUCACUCGAUACUGAUCGACUCGAAGGCAGGAGAGGGAAGUGGAAUUCCCGGUGUAGUGGUGAAAUGCGUAGAUAUCGGGAGGAACACCGAUGGCGAAGGCAGGUCUCUGGGCCGAUACUGACGCUGAGGAGCGAAAGCGUGGGGAGCGAACAGG